rnacentral:rRNA from 1 species
AUUGAACGCUGGCGGCAUGCCUUACACAUGCAAGUCGAACGGCAGCGGGGGAGAAGCUUGCUUUUCCUGCCGGCGAGUGGCGAACGGGUGAGUAAUACAUCGGAACGUGCCCUGUAGUGGGGGAUAACUAGUCGAAAGAUUAGCUAAUACCGCAUACGACCUGAGGGUGAAAGUGGGGGACCGCAAGGCCUCAUGCUAUAGGAGCGGCCGAUGUCUGAUUAGCUAGUUGGUGGGGUAAAGGCCUACCAAGGCGACGAUCAGUAGCUGGUCUGAGAGGACGAUCAGCCACACUGGGACUGCGACACGGCCCAGACUCCUACGGGAGGCAGCAGUGGGGAAUUUUGGACAAUGGGUGAAAGCCUGAUCCAGCAAUGCCGCGUGUGUGAAGAAGGCCUUCGGGUUGUAAAGCACUUUUGUCCGGAAAGAAAUGGCUCUGGUUAAUACCUGGGGUCGAUGACGGUACCGGAAGAAUAAGGACCGGCUAACUACGUGCCAGCAGCCGCGGUAA